GAUCAUGGCUCAGGAUGAACGCUGGCGGCGUGCUUAACACAUGCAAGUCGAACGAAGCACUUUAUUACGAUUUCUUCGGGAUGACGAUUUAGUGACUGAGUGGCGGACGGGUGAGUAACGCGUGGGUAACCUGCCUUAUACAGGGGGAUAACAGUUAGAAAUGACUGCUAAUACCGCAUAAGCGCACAGGAUUGCAUGAUCUGGUGUGAAAAAACUCCGGUGGUAUAAGAUGGACCCGCG
rnacentral:rRNA from 1 species